rnacentral:lncRNA from 1 species
AUGCCUACAGAGGCUGUUACCACCCUCCACGCUAUGCCCUUAGUAGAGAAAAUCUGGCCAGGAAACAUCCCACAUAAUGACCAGGUGCAUUAUGUGUGUAGCCUUUUGCUAGUUCAAAAGAAGGAGAUGUGGCUUCUGCUCCCAAGAAGAGAGACCCGUGAGAGUGAUGUUGGUCAUGUGAGUGUCCAGCGAGCACAGAGCUCUCUCUGGCCUGGGUUCCUUCCUUCCCUCUGCUCUCCUUGGUGUUAUGCCUCUCACUCCCUGAAAUUCUAUGCUGUCUCUCUUCUCCAGGUGCCUGUGGAUCCUUGCUUGGGAGUGAUGCAAGGGGGAAGAAUAGGGAAGGUGCAAAAGUCUAACCACCUCUUAUCCAGCAUCCUCAAGACAGGUCGGGUGGUCUACGCUCCCACCUCCAUCCAGAUAAGGAGGAUUGGUCCUGCUGUGGGCUUUGUGAGUGUGAAUUUGGAGAGGGCCCCAAGAUGCCCUGGAAGAGGCCAUGAUGGCAGAGCUGGUGAAGCUGACCACAGGCAGGAGAAAGACAUUCAGCAGUUAGUGUGGCUCACCUUUGAGAGAUGA